rnacentral:rRNA from 1 species
GACGAACGCUGGCGGCGUGCUUAACACAUGCAAGUCGAACGGAAAGGCCCUGCUUUUGUGGGGUGCUCGAGUGGCGAACGGGUGAGUAACACGUGAGUAACCUGCCCUUGACUUUGGGAUAACUUCAGGAAACUGGGGCUAAUACCGGAUAGGAGCUCCUGCUGCAUGGUGGGGGUUGGAAAGUUUCGGCGGUUGGGGAUGGACUCGCGGCUUAUCAGCUUGUUGGUGGGGUAGUGGCUUACCAAGGCUUUGACGGGUAGCCGGCCUGAGAGGGUGACCGGCCACAUUGGGACUGAGAUACGGCCCAGACUGCUACGGGAGGCAGCAGUGGGGAAUAUGGCACAAUGGGCGGAAGCCUGAUGCAGAAACGCCGCGUGCGGGAUGACGGCCUUCGGGUUGUAAACCGCUUUCGCCUGUGACGAAGCGUGAGUGACGGUAAUGGGUGAAGAAGCACCGGCUAACUACGUG